rnacentral:rRNA from 1 species
UACGUAGGGUGCGAGCGUUAAUCGGAAUUACUGGGCGUAAAGCGUGCGCAGGCGGUUUUGUAAGCCAGAUGUGAAAUCCCCGGGCUUAACCUGGGAAUGGCAUUUGGGACUGCAAGGCUGGAGUGCGGCAGAGGAGACUGGAAUUCCUGGUGUAGCAGUGAAAUGCGUAGAUAUCAGGAGGAAUACCGAUGGCGAAGGCAGGUCUCUGGGCUGACACUGACGCU